UCCCUGGAGGACUAGCGGUUAGGCCUCAGUGCUCUCACUGCCGCGGUCCAGGCUCGAUUCCCGGUCAGGGAA